ACUCCAUCCUGCCACCCUGCGAGGAAGGUGCCUGCUUCUUCUUUGCCUUCCGCCGUGAGUGUGAGUCUCCUGAGGCCUCCCCAGCAAUGUGGAACUGAUACGUCAUGGAACAGAGGGCAACCUGCCUCCUGGAAAUGUGGAGUGUCUAGGGAGUCACAGCUGAGAUCUUCCUUGGAUUAAAGGCUGCGGGUGUCACAAACAGGUAGGAAUAUUCAAGUGGUAAUCUUGAAGAAUUACUGGAAGCUGAGGGUAGUCUAGGAUGUGAAUGAAAACCUCCUGUGGGCCUCAGUCUCAGGGAGGGGCCACUCUUUUCUGGGCUUUACCUCCAGGAACCUUAUCUUGUUCUCACGGUGAAGAACCUAUAGCUUCCAUUGUGGCUCUGGGGAAUGGGAGGGGACAGAGGAAGGCACACUGUUAAGAGAAUAAAAAUAUAAACCACAGACUUGAAUAUCAUAUUUGCAGAACAUAUAUGUUAUAAAGAACUUGUAUCCAAAACAUAGAAGGAACACUUUAAACUCAACAGUAAGAAAGGAAACAACCUACAUUAAAAAUGAAAGAGAUAUCAGCAAACACAAAGAAGACAUACAAAUAACAAAUAAUCACAUGCACAGUCCUUAAACAAAUGUAAAUUAAAACAAGAUACUACAAUAUACCUAUUAAAAUGGCAAAAAAA
rnacentral:lncRNA from 1 species